CUGGCGGCGCGGAUUAGGCAUGCAAGUCGUACGCGAAAGUUGCUUCGGGUGGCGAGUAGAGUGGCGAAAGGGUGAGUAAUGCAUGGUUAACAUACCCUGGAGACCGGGAUAACUUGCUGAAAGGGGGCUAUACCGGAUGGUUUCCCACGGGAAUAAACGGCGGGGCUCCUUCGGGACCUGCUGCUCCAGGAGUGGACCAUGUCCCAUCAGUUAGUUGGUGAGGUAAGAGCUCACCAAGGCAAUGACGGGUAGCUGGUCUGAGAGGAUGGUCAGCCACACUGGGACUGAGACACUGCCCAGACUUCUACGGGAGGCUGCAGUCGAGAAUCAUCCGCAAUGGGCGCAAGCCUGACGGUGCGACGCCGCGGGAAGGAUGAGGGCCUUCGGGUUGUAAACUUCUAACACGGGUUAAGAAACGCCUGGCAUUAAUAGUGUCGGGUUUGACGUAACCCCGAGAUGAAGCACUGGCUAACUUCGUGCCAGCAGCCGCGGUAAGACGAAGUGUGCGAGCGUUGUUCGGAAUCACUGGGCGUAAAGGGUGCGUAGGCGGCAUGGUAAGUCAGGUGUGAAAUCCCCCGGCUCAACCGGGGAAUUGCUUUUGAUACUGCCAUGCUUGAGAGCGAAAGGGGCAAGCGGAAUUCCAGGUGUAGCGGUGGAAUGCGUAGAUAUCUGGGAGAACGCCGAUGGCGAAGGCAGCUUGCUGGGUCGCGUCUGACGCUGAGGCACGAAAGCUAGGGGAGCGAACAGGAUUAGAUACCCUGGUAGUCCUAGCCGUAAACGAUGGGCACUACGUUCCGGAGGGCCUGAUCCCUUCGAAGCGUGAGUUAACGCAUUAAGUGCCCCGCCUGGGGAGUAUGGUCGCAAGGCUAAAACUCAAAGGAAUUGACGGGGGCUCACACAAGCGGUGGAGCAUGUUGUUCAAUUCGAAGCAACGCGAAGAACCUUACCUGGGCUUGACAUGCUAGUAGUACGAACCCGAAAGGGGGAGGACUCUUAACCGAGAGCUAGCACAGGUGCUGCAUGGCUGUCGUCAGCUCGUGUCGUGAGACGUUGGGUUAAGUCCCGUAACGAGCGAAACCCUUGUUGUCUGUUGCCAUCGGGUCAUGCCGGGCACUCUGGCAAGACUGCCGGUGUUAAACCGGAGGAAGGCGGGGACGACGUCAAGUCAUCAUGGUCCUUACGUCCAGGGCUACAAACGUGCUACAAUGGCCAGUACAGAGAGAAGCGAGACCGCGAGGUGGAGCAAAUUUUCAAAGCUGGCCCCAGUUCGGAUUGGAGGCUGCAAUUCGCCUCCAUGAAGUUGGAAUCGCUAGUAAUCGCGGAUCAGCAACGCCGCGGUGAUAUGUUCCUGAGCCUUGUACACACCGCCCGUCAAGCCACCCAAGCUGGAAGCACCCGAAGU
rnacentral:rRNA from 1 species